AUCCAGUUGACGAGUCCAAAAUAGAACGAAACACACGUUCUGGAU
rnacentral:hammerhead_ribozyme from 1 species